CUAUGACCCAAGGCUGCCCUGCAAGCAGGCAUGACCAGGCUGGGGCCCCAGGACUUUCAGAUUGUAAAGUCAAAUGGUGAGAAUAAUUUAUUUUCCUGAAAUAAUGACUUAAAAUUAGUGGAAUGGGCAGCAAGUGAAGUUCAUUAGCAUCUAAAUAGAAUUUGUUUUUGCCUUGCGUGGAGGAAACUUACGCACACGUAGUGAGGGAGUUGCAAAUUGUAUUCUCCCCUAAUAGUUCACUUUUCAAUCUCAGGAUGCUCUUUAAUUAAAAAUUAAACAGGAUUCUAGGCCGGGCACGGUGGCUCACACCUGUAAUCCCUGCACUUUGGGAGGCCGAGGUGGAUGAAUCACUUGAGGUCAGGAGUUCAAGACCAGCCAGGCCAACAUGGUGAAACCCUGUCUCUACUAAAAAUAGAAAAAUUGGCCGGGCAUGGUGGCGCAUGCCUGUAAUCCCAGCUACUCGGAAGACUGAAGCAGAAGAAUCACUUGAACCUGGGAGGCAGAGGUUGCACUGAGCUGAGACUGUGCUACUGCACUCUAGCCUGGGUGACAGAGUGAGACUCCUUCUCAAAAACAAAAAAAAUAUUAAACAGGAUUUUAAAUUAAACCUAAAUGGCAGGACAAGGUGUCCUCCAGAGCAUGCACCCAAAUUGAGUAAACCUCCAAGAGAUCUCUCAAUGGACUAAACUUUCUGUAACAUGUUUGAGAGUGCAUUCUAAUCAUAACUGCAAAAAAGUAGUUAAAAUCUAUGUUUGAAAAUUAAAAUUAAACAUAGAACCCUGAAAAUCUCUAUGCAACUUUAUCCCACAGAAAUUUUGAAAAACAAAACAGAGCACACUCCGUUGUUAUUAUAGCUUUAAAAUAUAGCAGAAAUAGUGGCUACAUUUUUGAAAGUUCAGUAAAGUUCAACUUUCCGAGCCAGAGCUUGCAAAGAGCGUAGUUGAGAAGUAGCCCCCAGAAGGGUGUGGCUAACACAGCCUCUGACUUCAGAGUCAGGAGAGCAAAAGGCCUUGCCUACUGCAACUUAUUCAUGUGAAUCAAUAACUCUUGUGUUUACCAACAUUUUAAACAAACUUGACCAUCUAGAGAAGAGUGGGCAGAAAUAGUGCUGUGAGGAUUGAUCUUCCUGUGGUUGUAAAAGCACAAUGAUCUUGUAUAAUUUAGUCUGUCCUGCCUUUGUAAACUUUGAAAGCAUGACGUCUUUAUAUCAGGAUCUAAUAAUAGCUAUUAUGAUGACUCUUCAUUGUCAUGAAAAAAUAUAAUUAGGUUUUCAUAUGGUCUAAGAAGGUAGGAAAACGAUGUAAAGAUUUGUGAAGGAUGUUAACUAAAAUAGUUAAAAUGAGUCCAGCCAUUAUGAGCUUAACUCAGGUACCUGGAACAUUGGCUUAUAUGGAACAUUAAAUUUCUGAAAAAAGCUCAAAAAAUGGGACAUGCAUGUACAUAUUCCUACCAUGAAUCUGACUCCACAGGGCUACAAAAUAUUUAACCUUCAUUUCAGGAGUGCUAGUGUGCUUCAGGUAGGUUUCAUACAGUUUAUUUGUCCUGACAAAAAAUCACCCUAUCAGCCUUCUCAUGAGCAUCCAGUGACAGAGAUGUGGAAAAGAACCUUCUGUGGGGAGAGUAAAGUUUGAAACAGUGAGGAACAGAGGAUGAUGUUCGAGAAGCCACAGGAGGAGACACCAGUGGACACCAGCGAGGAGAGGAGCCAGGGAGAAGGAAAUGGGGAAGACAUUCCUCAAGGAGCAGCUCUGAGCUCCGCGGCUUUGGGGGCCAUGGAGUCACAACAGCUUAAGAUGUCCCUUCAGCACCAGCUGGGCAUGGGCAACAGUGAGAGGAGAGGGUGGCAGCUAUGACAUCAGUGUUUGUGUCUUUACCUGCACAUGGGGAGAAAAUUCCAUCUGUUUCCCAUAAGUAGGGUCAUCUUUGAACAGAAGAGGCAGUUGUGUGUUUCCACAAAUGUGGCGACAUACAUUGUAGGACACACCAAGACUUUGCUGUAGCCGAGCCAUAGGCUCUUUAGACUUUGGCGGGUUGUUCUCUUCCCCCUAUCCCUUCAUUUCUUCUGUCCACCAAAAUGUAUUGAAAUCAUCCUGGGAGCCAGACACUGGUAGGUGCUGGGGAUAUAGGCAGGAAUGUGCUUUCAUGAGAGACAAGAAAGCCUGACCUUGCUGCCACAGAAAUUUCAUUGCACUGUGAGACAGAGAUGUGCCAAUAGAAAGAUCCACAUAAGAAGCAUAAGAAGAAGCAUAAGAAGAGCAUAAGAAGCAUUAGAACGGGCGUGAAAGUCCAUCCAGGGGACAUUUUUGACCCAAAUUUGAGAGGCCAGGAGAGCUUCCUGGAGAAAGUGACAUGUAAGGCAAGACCUGAAAGACAAACCCAAUUACCUGGGGAGGUGAGGAAGGAAGAGGGACAGGUGUUCCAAGAAAGGCAGAUAGCAUAUUGAGGGGAGCAGUGGGAAAGAGAAGGGGAACUCCAGGAACUGAAGUGAUCCCCACCACCAGAGCAUGGAGUGUGAGUGAAAAGUCUGCAGAGGGCUGGUGCCCGGGACCUCUGAACACGGGAGGCCAGACAGUAUUCUAAGAUCAACGGGAAGCCAUUGCAAAGUUUCACCCAGAGGAGUAAUGUGAUCAGAUUUGCAUCUUAGAACAGUUGUUUUGGCACUUCUGACUGGAAGGGCAAGAAUGGCCAGUGUUGUUGUUACCUGAAGGGUAAAUGUGGCCCACAAUAUGAAAUGCAGUGAAGAAGGAGACAUAUGCAUAUAUGUUAAGUAAAUAUAAUCGAGGUAUAUUUAGCAGACAGAAUCAAUAGACUUGAUGAGUGAUGGACUGGAUGUGUGAGGAGUCUAGAUCACUUCCAGGUUGCUGAUUUGGGCAACUCAGUACUAAUCAAUGAAAAAGAAGAUCCACAGGGAGGAACUUGUCUAAGGGGUGAGGUGGGGCUGAACAGCUGCGUUUGAGACUGGAGAAGUGUGUGCUGGGCAUGGGAUGCACAAGUGGAAAUGCCUUUGGGUCUGCAGCUCAGACGUGGGCAUGACCAGCAUAGAGAUAGAGAGGCCCCAGGCUGCCAGGUGAGUGUGAUCCCCAGGUGAUGGUGUCAGCUGAGAAGGGAAGGAAGCCCCUGUGAGGACACUGAAGUGGCGAGGGCAGACAACAAGGAGUCCACAGGAGACAGGAAAGGAAGAACUAGAGGGAGGAGCCAAGCCAGGCAUGUGUGGUGACAUAGGAACCGAGGGAGAGGACAUCUCAAGAUUGAGGGGACGCUGCACAACAGGAGGACUGUGUGGUUUUUGGCCACGUCCACAGGAAGUCACAACAGGCAAGGAAAAGAAACUGGCAAUCAGACAUGGAGUUGAGGAGUGAAUCAGAGAGGAGAUGGGCAGGGACAGCAGGGUGAGGCCUCUUUCUGAGGAAGUUUGGCUAAAGGAUAGAUCAGCUGGGACACAUGCUGGAAGGGUGUAUGGGGUGGAGGGAGGAACGGUGGAGGGCAGGAGAGCCUUGAGCCUGAGAGAAGAGUCUCCUAGAAUAGAGAAGCCGAGGUUAAAAUUGUGGGAGAGAGUGGGGAUAACUGAGUGACAGAUAAUCAGGAGAACAGAAGGAGCUCCAGAAUCAUGACAGAGAGAUGACCUUUGCCAAGAGCACAGCCCCCUCCCCUGUGACAGAGGGGUAGGACAAAACAAUUGGUGUUCAAGUGUUGGUUUAACUAUGUCCUUUGAAACAUUUCUCCACAGACACUGCCCAAAGCAGUCCUUCACUACAGUGGCAGAUACACCUGCACAUCUUCACCUAAAACAGUGACCUGACCAAGCUAACUGCUGCUGCCUGGAACACUGCCCUUACUUUAGAAAUGUCGACCAGAUUGUAGGAUACCCAAACAACCUUUUCAAGCAGAAAGCAAACAGAUUAAGAAAGUAGCCAGAUGAGUUAGCGAGCCCAACAGUGACUUUUGUUUCUUUUUUUCCCUGUUCCCUUUUCUUUUCAUGAUAGGAAAGGCUGGACAGGGAUGCGUUGCAAAAGCAGUGAUCUAGCUUAUCUUGCCACCACCCAGGAUGGCCCAGGAUGUGGGUUCUCCUUGAAUGAAUGUUUGGCAGUCUGGCAGCCUGACAUGGUCUGCCUCCUUCUUUGGUCUGAGCUUGCCCACUGCUUAGAAAGGGCCAUGGGCAGUUCUGUCAGGGAGUUUUCCCAACAUUGAGAAGGUGACAUUUCUACUCCCCGUUGCAGUCUGCACCUCUGACCUGUGGUCAGCAGACAGGACAGAGGCACUCAGUAGACAGAGCUCAGAGGACAGCACUCAGUCCCGGCGGAAGGUUCAAUGUCCAGCUUUGCACCCACCCCAUGUGACCACAAGCAGGCUCCAUGACCUUGUGGGUCAGUUUCCUCACCCUGUUCAGGAGGAAUUGUACUACCAUCCUGUUAGGAAAUUUGUGAGGAUCACUGCGUUACUCAUGUAAGGUCUUUGGAAAGUGUCAUGUUACUGUUUAUUAACUGCUUGUUGGUGGCCUGGCUGAGCCACAUCCUUUAUGAAAACCAGAACCCCUCAGCAGGUGUGGAUGUCUGUGCAGCCUGAGACCCUUGUGUGAACAGCCUUCUGGCAGCUGUUUUUUCCCCUUGCCACAAUCAGUGCCUCCCUGUCCCCAGGCGUUGCUUUCUCUGCUGGGUGCUGGGUGCUCCACUGUUUUCCUACACCUCAGUUGUCUACAGGUGUAUGUCUGUUCUGGAAUCUAACUGAGGUGGCAUCGAUAGCAGUUCUGCUGUGGCACUGCCCUUCUUCUUAGGUUGUCUUUUGAGAGCAAGAGAGGUCCCUUCACAUACCCCAAGAACUUACCUGCAUUUGCCCACAUAGUCUCCAUUUAGAAAAUGGGAAAAGUCACGUCUGCCUACCUGCCAAUGGGGUAAGAGAACACAUCACUGUCGUUAAGAGACACAUGUCUGUACAAAUGACUUUGGAGAAUAUGCUUUCAGUUCACUUGGAGCAUUCCUGGGUGUGGAUUUGCUGGACCAAAUGUUAAGUUCAAAUUUAAUUUUUUUUAAGAAACAAGAAAGCUAUCUUCCAAAUUAGCUAUGCCAAUGUACAUU
rnacentral:lncRNA from 1 species